CAGUACCAGCGUGACGCGGCAUCGCGCGGCACCUCCACGUGCCCGCCAAGCGCCCAGCAGGAGCAGCAGCUGCAGCGUGCGCAACCCGACAGCGCCCAUGGCACCUGCAGUGGAGAGGGAGGAGGCUACUGUCUGUUUUAGCUCAGACUGGUCCCAAAGCUCCCGGGUACCAGGGAGGGUUAUGAAGUCUUGAUCCCGGCCAGAGCCUCACCUCGUACGGCAGUGCUCUGCGGCUUACAGCGCAGAUUCUCCUUUUAUCAUGGCUGAUCCAGCAAGCAGCAUCUGUGUACACCCAGAGUCCCUUGCCGCCUGGAAACCUGGGCCUGAACACCUCUCUCUCCCCUCAGAACCCUCUGUCUCCCACCUCAGGAGACAACCUCUGUUGUGUGUGUUGGGGGGGCGGAUGCUGGGAAUGAAACCCUAGGUCUUGCUCAUGCUGAGACACUCAUUUCUAAUUUGAGACAGGUAUCACGAUGUAUCUCAAGACUGGUUCAGAACUUGGCAUCCUACUACCUGGGCCUCUCCACCGCCAGAUGGCCGGUGUGUGCCACCGUGCCGUGCUCACAGUCUUCUGCCAGAUGUACCGAAAAGACAAACAGCACGGAGGCCUCAAGGGUGGCAUAGACGGGAGGAAGAGUGAGCAGGAGGCAUGCAGUCAAAGGACUCUGCUCUGAAGCAGGCAACCAUGGAGCGCUCUGAGCCAGAGACGGGGGGUGUUAGCUGCAGCAACCCCUCAUCACGCAGGAGCACCAAGCCCCGAGCAGCGUUUUCUCUUCGGCCCAUGUGGCUGCCUUCUCAGGCAAGCCUGGAGUUAAACAAGAGGCCUUGGUACCCCCCCAUCCGAAUCAAAAGGAGGAGUCUCUAGACAAACAGCUACCACCACCUGUACCCACUCUCACCUCUCACGACCCAGAUGAUGACUCCAGUGAGGUUUGCAGCAAGCCCACAAAAUCUGAGGGAGACCUGAAGGAUUGGGAGGGUCUCUGAGCUGACUGGAUAGAGAAGGGACAGAACCACCCAUCCCCCCAGGCUGGGAGCAGAGCAAGUGUAAAUAUUUAGUAUUUCUCGUGUGAGAAUCCAGGCAGAAAAACCAGAUCCCUUGCCGAGGCCUCCAGAGUGUGAUAACAGAGGCCACUGCCCUCCAUGAGUGUCUUCCUUUUUCUCAGAAGCUCACAGAGCAUGUGGGAUCCAGACUCAGACAACUAUGACAUAACUAAGAUGACAAUGACGGGUAUCAGUGAGCAACCUAACCUGCUUGGUGUUGGGGACACCCUUAAAGAGUAAAGCUUGUUCCUCAUUUAACCCUAGCAGCCAGGCUAGGGGUGUGACUCAACUGUAGAACCGCUGCCUAGAAUCCCCCAGUGAGGGACUGGGAUUGCCUCAGUAGUAGAGCACUUGUAAGGUCCUGGGUUGGUACCCAGUACUGCAAGAAGAAAACAAAACCUCAACAUGUGGUGGCGCAUGCCUAAUCACAGUUUACCUGGGAGAUAGAGGCAGUUGGAUCUCUGUGACUUCCAAGCCAGCCAGUGAGCCCCUAAGAAGGGAGUGGGGUUGGUGGGUGUUAGUUCAGGAUUGAUGGAGGCAGUGUGAAAUAAAGGAGACCGACACUGCCCUUUACUGCAGAAGUGGAGACUGUGUGCCAAGGUGCAGGGGGCGGAGAAGAGAUGGAGUUUUAUCUGUAUGUUUGUAGUCUCAGGGCUGAGAUGUUUUUAUAAUAUGCUGACCUGGUCAGGUUUCUCCUAGCUCCGGACUGCAGAUGUUCUCAUUACUAUGUAGGCUUUCCUGUCAGGCAAGGUGCUCUUACCGGUAUGUGCAGGGAGUUCCUGGUGCUCUUACCGGUAUGUGCAGGGAGUUCCCGGUGCUCUUAUCGGUAUGUGCAGGAGUUUCGAAGAUGUCUGAGGCUGUUUUAGAUCACUGUCUUAGUUACUGUUCUAUGUCUAUGAGGAGACAUCGUGACCAAGGCAACUUACAUAAAGAAGCAUUUAAUGGGGGCUUGCUUACAGUUUCAGAGGGUGAGUCCAUGACCAUCACAGCAGGGAGCAUGGCAGCAGAGAGACAUAAUCAUUGCAUCUGAUUCACAAGCAGGAGGCAGAGAGAAAGACACUGGGCCUUUUGAAACCUUGAAGCCCAGCCCCAGUGACACACUCCCUCCAACAAGACCACACCUCCUAUUCCUUCCCAAAAUGUUCCAUCAACUGGGUACCAAGCAUCCAAAUAAAUGAGCCUUGUUCAAA